GGUUUGUUUGUUUAGACAAGAAUGUCCAAAUUUUUGGCAUCUCUGGGCCACACUGCAAGAAGACUUGUCUUGGGACACACAUUGAGUA